GGAUGUGAGGGCAACCUGGCUGUGACAUCUGUCACCCCAAUGAUCCCCAGGGUUGACUCAGCUCAUCUGGCUGGCUCAGUGAGUGUCCCCUUCCUCACCUCUCCAUAUGUGUCCCUCCUGAAGCUGCAUGCUGAUAGAGGAAGACUGUUCCUUGGUCAAGGAUAUAAGAGUAGCUGUGCUUUUUCUGAGUUUUGUAAGGAAGCAGAUUUGGUAACUUCUGAUAAACCAAGGGACGUACAUCAGGUUCUAGCAAGGGACAUAACUAUUCUUUGGUCAAAGAUAUAAGAAUAU
ensembl:misc_RNA RN7SKP123 RN7SK pseudogene 123